UAGCUCAAACCGCGAUAAUACAGUUUCAAUAAAAUUGGUGUUAAUGGACAUUAUACUUGUGUACCGCAGAUGUACAUGUAAAGGUAUCUAGCAAACAUAGAUUGGACCCAUGUUCACGAUAUGUUGUCAUAUGUGAGUAAUGGACUAUAUGUGUGACUUGACGUUGUAAACGUAUGUUACUGUUUGAUUGCCUGUGUAACGCUGCCGUCAAAUAUUCAACAUGAGCUGAAGACGACUUGUGGAAAACAUCGUUUUUUUAAAUGUAAAUGUGGUGUAUUUCUAUUAAACUGCAUUUUAAAUUACAACAAAUGACUUACGGAAAUCUAUGUGGUGGACUUUACCAUAGUUCUCUGUGAACUAUCUGAACUAUUUGUAUAUUGUAUAUUGAGGUGUUUUUUUUCACUAUUAUGAGACGAGGUUUAAAGUUAAACGAAAUGGAACAAUGGUGUAAGCGUUUUAUUGCAACGAUGUAGUGAUUGUUUGCCCGACCGCAGACGCGUCUGCUCGCUAACAUUACAAAACAUUUCUUCGAAUGCAUGUACAUACUUGCAAUGAUAAUUCUGCCUUAAUACAUAUGUUGUCUUAAGUACAAGUAUUGGAAUCAAAGCAAACAAUUUAUACGACUUAAUUUGUCAUAAGCAAUAUCAUUUUAAAAUAAUGUAAAUAUGCACAUACAUGUACCAAUAUGUGACAAUGUAGUCGCACAGGCACCGCCGACCAACAACUACACAGUAACCGAUGGCAACGUGACGUGUGUUGUCAUGACGGCGGGUAUACGCCUGACAAUUCCGUACGUCACAGCUACUAAGAAUGACACAGUAAACAUUACAAUUCCACAGAACGGCACAACCUACAGUGGUGUGUUCCAAACCCGACGGCACGAACCAACUCAACAUAAAAUUUCUAGACAACUAGAACUUGACAUUCAUCUUCGCUAACUCAUCAACAGUAGAUAAUGAAUACGAAUGGCAGCUUGUAUUUUUGAAUUAUAUUAUUGACAAAUCCUAUUUCCCGAACGCUACCAAUUUAGGAAAGCACAAUUUGACGUUAACUUUCCCAAACGGAACGAAUGCUGCGCAAUUCAACGGUUCCUACCGCUGCGACCGCACGCGAGACAUCCCGUUGUCAAUGGGAGUUACCAUGACGAUGGUAAAUUUGAGUUACAGAGCAUUUGGAUCAGACAGUCACACGAACAUUUCCUCAGAAAACGUGAGCACGAGUCUUGGUAGACAUGGCAUAAGCCCGGAAACUGACCUCGCCCUGGCCCUCGCAGUGGGAAUUGCUCUCGGGUCGUGUAUUCUACUCACCGUGGUAGUGUACGUGAUAGCGAGCAGGGCCCGGGGGCACAAGAACCUAAAAUAAGCCAGUGGAAGACAGUACGACGUGUCGUUUUUUUAAUUGACUGGACUCAAAAGAGAUUUCCAUGACAGUUCCAAUAUUUAUCAUAGUUUUAAGUGUUCAUACGUUUUUGUGCAUGAACUGUUUAGUAAAUUAUAUUUACUGCGAAGAUCUAUUACUAAUUAUUUGAAAGAUCUCUCUAAACGUCAUUUUUGGUGCUUUUUUUAUGAUCGACGACCAUGACAUAUCAUAUGUUCAUUCUGUAUGAUAAAACUAAUAUGUCUUAGCUUGUUUUAAUCUAUAAUAUACUGAAUAUGAGCACGUGCACAUGAAGGAUCGUGAAAUAACACAAUCAUUCACAGUGCUCAAUAGUUUAAGAAACAAAUACGUGUUUCUAUAUUGUGUUUAGAAUGUUUUCAAUUAGGUCUCUUUCAUCUGCAUAUGCAUAUCGUACUUAACAUAUGAGCCGCGUUCUGAGAAAACUGGGCAUAAUGCAUGUGCGUAAAGUCUUGUCCCAGAUUAGCCUGUGCAGUCCGCACAGGCUAAUCAGAGACGUCAAUUUCCGCUUUAUUAUGACAUUUUUCGUU